rnacentral:rRNA from 1 species
CUUAACACAUGCAAGUCGAGGGGCAGCAUGGUCUUAGCUUGCUAAGGCCGAUGGCGACCGGCGCACGGGUGAGUAACGCGUAUCCAACCUGCCUUACACUCUUGGACAGCCUUCUGAAAGGGAGAUUAAUACAAGAUGUUAUCAUGAGUAAGCAUUUUCGCAUGAUUAAAGGUUUACCGGUGUAAGAUGGGGAUGCGUUCCAUUAGAUAGUAGGCGGGGUAACGGCCCACCUAGUCUUCGAUGGAUAGGGGUUCUGAGAGGAAGGUCCCCCACAUUGGAACUGAGACACGGUCCAAACUCCUACGGGAGGCAGCAGUGAGGAAUAUUGGUCAAUGGACGAGAGUCUGAACCAGCCAAGUAGCGUGAAGGAUGAAGGUUCUAUGGAUUGUAAACUUCUUUUAUACGGGAAUAAACGAAUCCACGUGUGGAUUUUUGCAUGUACCGUAUGAAUAAGGAUCGGCUAACUCCGUGCCAGCAGCCGCGGUAAUACGGAGGAUCCGAGCGUUAUCCGGAUUUAUUGGGUUUAAAGGGAGCGUAGAUGGGUUGUUAAGUCAGUUGUGAAAGUUUGCGGCUCAACCGUAAAAUUGCAAUUGAUACUGGCAGUCUUGAGUACAGUUGAGGUAGGCGGAAUUCGUGGUGUAGCGGUGAAAUGCUUAGAUAUCACGAAGAACUCCGAUUGCGAAGGCAGCUUACUAACCUGUAACUGACAUUGAUGCUCGAAAGUGUGGGUAUCAAACAGGAUUAGAUACCCUGGUAGUCCACACGGUAAACGAUGAAUACUCGCUGUAGGCGAUAUACAGUCUGCGGCCAAGCGAAAGCAUUAAGUAUUCCACCUGGGGAGUACGCCGGCAACGGUGAAACUCAAAGGAAUUGACGGGGGCCCGCACAAGCGGAGGAACAUGUGGUUUAAUUCGAUGAUACGCGAGGAACCUUACCCGGGCUUAAAUUGCAACCGAAUAUGGCGGAAACGCUAUAGCUAGCAAUAGCGGUUGUGAAGGUGCUGCAUGGUUGUCGUCAGCUCGUGCCGUGAGGUGUCGGCUUAAGUGCCAUAACGAGCGCAACCCUUGCCGAUAGUUACUAACAGGUCAUGCUGAGGACUCUGUCGGGACUGCCAUCGUAAGAUGUGAGGAAGGUGGGGAUGACGUCAAAUCAGCACGGCCCUUACGUCCGGGACUACACACGUGUUACAAUGGGGGGUACAGAGGGCUGCUACCACGCAAGUGGAUGCCAAUCCCAAAAACCUCUCUCAGUUCGGAUUGAAGUCUGCAACCCGACUUCAUGAAGCUGGAUUCGCUAGUAAUCGCGCAUCAGCCACGGCGCGGUGAAUACGUUCCCGGGCCUUGUACACACCGCCCGUCAAGCCAUGGGAGCCGGGGGUACCUGAAGUGCGUAACCGCAAGGAGCGCCCUAGGGUAAAACUGGUGACUGGGGC